GAUUUAUCGGUAUAAGAUGGGCAUGCGUAUCAUUAGCUAGUUGGUGUGGUAACGGCAUACCAAGGCAACGAUGAUUAGGGGUCCUGAGAGGGAGAUCCCCCACACUGGUACUGAGACACGGACCAGACUCCUACGGGAGGCAGCAGUGAGGAAUAUUGGUCAAUGGAGGCAACUYUGAACCARCCAUGCCGCGUGCAGGAUGACGGUCCUAUGGAUUGUAAACUGCUUUUGUACAGGAAGAAACCUCUCUACGUGUAGAGACUUGACGGUACUGUAAGAAUAAGGAUCGGCUAACUCCGUGCCAGCAGCCGCGGUAAUACGGAGGAUCCGAGCGUUAUCCGGAAUUAUUGGGUUUAAAGGGUUCGUAGGCGGCUUUGUAAGUCAGUGGUGAAAUUUUCUAGCUUAACUAGGACACGGCCAUUGAUACUGCAGAGCUUGAAUAAUAUGGAAGUAACUAGAAUAUGUAGUGUAGCGGUGAAAUGCUUAGAUAUUACAUGGAAUACCAAUUGCGAAGGCAGGUUACUACGUAUUUAUUGACGCUGAUGAACGAAAGCGUGGGGAGCGAACAGGAUUAGAUACCCUGGUAGUCCACGCCGUAAACGAUGGAUACUAGCUGUUCGGWCUUCGGUCUGAGUGGCUAAGCGAAAGUGAUAAGUAUCCCACCUGGGGAGUACGUUCGCAAGAAUGAAACUCAAAGGAAUUGACGGGGGCCCGCACAAGCGGUGGAGCAUGUGGUUUAAUUCGAUGAUACGCGAGGAACCUUACCAGGGCUUAAAUGUAGAUUGACAGAUUUGGAAACAGAUUUUUCUUCGGACAAUUUACAAGGUGCUGCAUGGUUGUCGUCAGCUCGUGCCGUGAGGUGUCAGGUUAAGUCCUAUAACGAGCGCAACCCCUAUUGUUAGUURCCAGCGAGUYAWGKCGGGRACUCUAGCAAGACUGCCGGUGCAAACCGUGAGGAAGGUGGGGAUGACGUCAAAUCAUCACGGCCCUUACGUCCUGGGCUACACACGUGCUACAAUGGCAAGUACAGAAAGCAGCUACCUGGCAACAGGAUGCGAAUCUCCAAAGCUUGUCUCAGUUCGGAUUGGAGUCUGCAACUCGACUCUAUGAAGCUGGAAUCGCUAGUAAUCGGAUAUCAGCCAUGAUCCGGUGAAUACGUUCCCGGGCCUUGUACACACCGCCCGUCAAGCCAUGGAAGCUGGGGGUACCUGAAGUCGGUGACCGCAAGGAGC
rnacentral:rRNA from 1 species